rnacentral:lncRNA from 1 species
UAGAAGCCCAGGUCUAACUGAAUUCAUGAUCCAGGACAGACUACAACAUUCACUUUCUCCCACUGAUCGUGAUACAUUGCUGGAAAUUGAGACUUAGGAAAUCUACCAUCUACAAACCCCAACUUGCUUUUACAUAGCAGACCAAUUCUCAUAGACCGACUCCAUAAAACAUAGUUGUCAGAUCCAGUUAACUGAAGUGAGAUGAGAGAACUACCUGGAGUGUCAGUUGGCUGCAGAAACAGUGGGUGAUUGUGAUCUAGUGUAGGAAUGGCGUGAAUUGUCUGCUGAACAUUCACUCCGUUUGUGUUGAUUUGCUCUUCCUUGAUUGCCAUGUUUUACAAUUCAGAUCUGGCUUAGAUGAAAUAACUUCCCACGAGCUUGCUGCUUUGAGUUGAGACAAAAACUACUUCAGAUCAAUAGUGGAAGCUCUGAUACCAUGUUAGCAGCCAUGGAAGAACUCAUAAGCUUGAGAAUCAUACAAGAGUAGGCUUGAGAGAGAAGAGAGGAAAAUCAAUCUUAUUCACAAACUG